AGCAUAUCAAUAAGCGGAGGAAAAGAAACUAACAAGGAUUCCCCUAGUAACUGCGAGUGAAGCGGGAAAAGCUCAAAUUUAAAAUCUGGCGGUCUUUGGUCGUCCGAGUUGUAGUCUGGAGAAGUGUUUUCCGCGCUGGACCGUGUACAAGUCCCUUGGAACAGGGCGUCAUAGAGGGUGAGAAUCCCGUCUUUGACACGGACUACCAGUGCUUUGUGAUGCGCUCUCAAAGAGUCGAGUUGUUUGGGAAUGCAGCUCAAAAUGGGUGGUAAAUUCCAUCUAAAGCUAAAUACAGGCGAGAGACCGAUAGCGAACAAGUACCGUGAGGGAAAGAUGAAAAGCACUUUGGAAAGAGAGUUAAACAGUACGUGAAAUUGCUGAAAGGGAAACGCUUGAAGUCAGUCGCGUUGUCCGGAAAUCAGCCUUGUAUUUAUUUACUUGGUGUAUUUUCUGGUUGACGGGCCAGCAUCGAUUUUAAUCGUUGGAUAAAGGUGAGGGGAACGUGGCACCUUCGGGUGUGUUAUAGCCCUUUGUUGCAUACAACGAUUGGGAUCGAGGGACUCAGCACGCCUUUAUUGGUCGGGGUUCGCCCACGUUCGUGCUUAGGAUGCUGGCAUAAUGGCUUUAAACGACCCGUCUUGAAACACGGACCAAGGAGUCUAACAUACCUGCGAGUGUUUGGGUGGUAAACCCGAGCGCGUAAUUAAAGUGAAAGUUGAGAUCCCCCUUUCAAGGGAGCAUCGACGCCCGGACUUGACCUUCUGUGAUAGCUCUGCGGUAGAGCAUGUAUGUUGGGACCCGAAAGAUGGUGAACUAUGCCUGAAUAGGGUGAAGCCAGAGGAAACUCUGGUGGAGGCUCGUAGCGAUUCUGACGUGCAAAUCGAUCGUCAAAUUUGGGUAUAGGGGCGAAAGACUAAUCGAACCAUCUAGUAGCUGGUUCCUG
rnacentral:rRNA from 1 species